rnacentral:rRNA from 1 species
UACGUAGGGUGCAAGCGUUGUCCGGAAUUAUUGGGCGUAAAGAGCGUGUAGGCGGCCUGGUAGGUCUGCUGUGAAAACUCGAGGCUCAACCUCGAGAUGUCGGCGGAAACCAUCUGGCUAGAGUCCGGAAGAGGAGAGUGGAAUUCCUGGUGUAGCGGUGAAAUGCGCAGAUAUCAGGAAGAACACCUAUGGCGAAGGCAGCUCUCUGGGACGGUACUGACGCUGAGACGCGAAAGCGUGGGGAGCGAACAGG